GGCUCGGUGGCGCAAUUUGGUAGCGCGUUUGACUCCAGAUCAAAAGGUUGCGUGUUCAAAUCACGUCCGGGUCA